rnacentral:rRNA from 1 species
GACGAACGCUGGCGGCGUGCCUAAUACAUGCAAGUAGAACGCACAGUUUAUACCGUAGCUUGCUACACCAUAGACUGUGAGUUGCGAACGGGUGAGUAACGCGUAGGUAACCUGCCUGGUAGCGGGGGAUAACUAUUGGAAACGAUAGCUAAUACCGCAUAAUAUUAAUUAUUGCAUGAUAAUUAAUUUAAAGGUGCAAUUGCACCACUACCAGAUGGACCUGCGUUGUAUUAGCUAGUAGGUGAGGUAACGGCUCACCUAGGCGACGAUACAUAGCCGACCUGAGAGGGUGAUCGGCCAAACUGGGACUGAGACACGGCCCAGACUCCUACGGGAGGCAGCAGUAGGGAAUCUUCGGCAAUGGACGAAAGUCUGACCGAGCAACGCCGCGUGAGUGAAGAAGGUUUUCGGAUCGUAAAGCUCUGUUGUAAGAGAAGAACGGGUGUGAGAGUGGAAAGUUCACACUGUGACGGUAUCUUACCAGAAAGGGACGGCUAACUACGUG